rnacentral:rRNA from 1 species
GUAUGGGGAUCUGCCCGAUAGAGGGGGAUAACUACUGGAAACGGUGGCUAAUACCGCAUAAUGUCUACGGACCAAAGCAGGGGCUCUUCGGACCUUGCACUAUCGGAUGAACCCAUAUGGGAUUAGCUAGUAGGUGGAGUAAAGGCUCACCUAGGCGACGAUCUCUAGCUGGUCUGAGAGGAUGAUCAGCCACACUGGGACUGAGACACGGCCCAG